rnacentral:rRNA from 1 species
GACGAACGCUGGCGGCGUGCCUAACACAUGCAAGUCGAGCGAUGAAGUUUCCUUUGGGAAACGGAUUAGCGGCGGACGGGUGAGUAACACGUGGGUAACCUGCCUCAUAGAGGGGAAUAGCCUCUCGAAAGGGAGAUUAAUACCGCAUAAUAUUACAGUUUCGCAUGAAACAGUAUUUAAAGGAGCAAUCCGCUAAGAGAUGGACCCGCGGCGCAUUAGCUAGUUGGGGAGGUAACGGGUCACCAAGGCGACGAUGCGGAGCCGACCUAAGAGGGUGAGCGGCGACAUUGGGACUGAGGCACGGCCCAGACUGCUACGGGAGGCAGCAGUGGGGAAUAUUGCACAAUGGGGGAAACCCUGAUGCAGCAACGCCGCGUGGGUGAUGACGGUCUUCGGAUUGUAAAGCUCUGUCUUUGGGGACGAUAAUGACGGUACUCAAGGAGGAAGCCACGGCUAACUACGUGCCAGCCGCCGCUGUAAAAC